GAAGGGCUAUUGACAGCAUGUAAGAUGUUCAGUAAGGUGCAGAAGGACUGGAUGGGGAACUGAAGAAGAAUAUCCCCAAGGAACACAACUGAGUAGAUUACAACACGACAGAAGAGAUGAAGAAAAUACCGGAAGCCUGCAGCACAGCCAGGAACUGAACUGACUUCUAAAUCCCAAGACAGUGCCUGAAUCACAUGUGCAGAAGUGACUUUAUGAGUGCCCCUAUUUAUUCCCUUUCAAUGACUUCCAGCUCAAAUUUGUUCAGUUCAUGAGUCAAAGGUGGAUCUCUCCCGCCGACUGCUAGUAUUGCAUGCUCCAUCUGAAUAUGAAAACCCACCUGGGUUAUUUCUGCCUGCUACAAUAUCACCAGCAAUAAAGAUACUGUAAGUGAAGAUCAA